rnacentral:rRNA from 1 species
UACGGAGGGUGCAAGCGUUAAUCGGAAUUACUGGGCGUAAAGGGUGCGCAGGUGGUUUGAUAAGAUAUCUGUGAAAUCCCCGGGCUCAACCUGGGAAGGUCAGAUAAGACUGUCAGACUCGAGUAUGGGAGAGGGUAGUGGAAUUUCCGGUGUAGCGGUGAAAUGCGUAGAGAUCGGAAGGAACACCAGUGGCGAAGGCGGCUACCUGGCCUAAUACUGACACUGAGGCACGAAAGCGUGGGGAGCAAACAGG